CCUGCGAGUAGAAGCGGUCUGAGCCUCGGUUCUGGACAUUGCUCGACGG
ncrna:Agrobacterium tumefaciens 5A NMT1 RNA